AAAGGAAAUGGUAUUUCAUAACGCCUGAUUUCGUUUUUACUACUGAUCCGAAUAAGGAUAGACUAAAAAGAGGGUUCUUUAGUAUAUCUACGUGUUUUACCUACUCUUGUCGUCUCUCGUUUUUCCUACGAUUGCAACUAAGGCUGGUGGUGCAAUUUGUCUGCUCCAACUGGUUCCGAAACCCUACCGGCUUCAACUAAAGACCUCACUUGGUUUUUGCCGAUCACGCAUUGGAAUACAGAAGUCUACCAAGCACGGGUCUUAUUCCCUCUCGAUACCUGGUCAUGACCCUCCAACCGAUAUCACAAUCUUUCUUGGUGUCGCUAUCAAUCCAGGUCCAAUGCUUACUACCGAGAGAGAGCAUAUGCAAGAGGAUGAAAGAUCGAGCUAUGAACCAUCAAGCAACACUAAUUUGCAUAACCGCCAAAUUCAAACUCAAGUAAUCCUGUACUCAAGCGCCCAACUUUGUGAGCUACGCACCAAUCGACCGCCCUGGGACCCGAACGUCUUCACCAAACUCAAGCAGCUUUGUAUAUACCGCUACAGGGGAAAGAGCUCUGGGAGAAAGUGUCGUAAAUCUAUUCCUGGUAUCAACUCAAGCACCAUUGCAAGCGAAAACCGAAAUUUGCAUAGUGAAGUAAACAACACUCGAUCGAAUAGUUUUGCUGUACCAAAAUUUCUAUUCUUGAAUAUAUGCUCUCUGACGAAGACCAAGAAAAGAGUAAAGGCGCAUGUUGCUUUAGAGGCUGACCUGUACGCUGCUGAUAUAGAUGUAUGAGUUAUAUUGGAAACCCAUCUCAAGACCGAAAUCCCGGACGCUAUUGUAUCAAUACCGAACUAUUCUGUGUACAGAAGAGAUAGAGGUUGGCUGGGAGCGGAUUUAAGAUCUAAAGGCGGCGUGGCAAUUUAUGUCAGAGACACUAUAAGUGUGAUUGAGAUAAAGAGAUCGGAGGCCUAUGAAUGUUUAUGUGUGACUCUCGAUCUUCCAUCAAAGCACAAAAUGUUGGUUUGCGGACUGUACCAUCCACCUAAACCCAACAAAGAUCUGAUUGGGUUUCUGGCGGAACUGUCCGAUGGCUUCCUUGACUCAACACCUGAGGGAACCGUUGUCUUAGGAGGAGAAUUAAACAAACUCGACCUUAGCGAAGUUAAUCGACAAACGGGUCUGAUCCCACUUGUCGACUUUCCAACGGGAGGCGAUUCUAAGUUGGACAAUUGUUUAACCAACGCUCCGCAUUUAUUCGCUAAGAGCUACCCAACCACGGCACAGACUAAAACUGACCAUUUGGGUUUUAUUGUUCCGGCCGCGAAAAAGUUAAAACCCAUUCGAACCAAACUGGCAUUUAGGGACUGUCGGCAACAAUACAAAGACGCCCUUUACAAAAGGCUUGUUGUUUUGACUGGUCCCCUCUCAGGGAGCUUUCCAGCAUUGAUGAUAUCGCUAACACCUUCCAGUCGACCCUACACCUGUUAAUGGAUGAAUGCCUCCCUUUGAAAUCCAUCACAAUGUCUUCACGCGACCCACCUUGGCUAACACCUUUGGUCAAAGUACUUCUACGGAAGAAGCGGCGGUUACAAUGCUGAGGCAAGGCAGAGCGCGUCCGAGAAAUCAGUAACAAAAUUUGGUAGUUUGGUGUCCGGAUAUAGACGCAAUCUCAGCGCUGGAGAAGUAAUCGGAUUGGCCAAGUGGUGGAGAAGGGUGGACUGCCUUAGUCAACGGAAAAGUCACUCUCCAUGUCAGUUAAGCGUACAAGCGCAAGAGCUGAACAAGUAUUUCAAGGAUCUGUGUUGGGACAAGGAGUAUAGCAAGCCUCCCCUCCCCCUGUACCAAUUGACAAUGAGUGUGAUGUUCCUCAACUGACGGAAGUCCAAACAUGGAAAGCCCUAACAUCGUGCAGGAAAACAGCCUCUAACCCGGAAGGCAUCCCAUUUUGGAUGUGGAAAGAAAACGCGGAAGCUCUUACUCCACGGACUCUACGGACGCAGACAUGGCCCAGGGAAUGGACAGAAGUAGAUCACCUUUUUAUGAGUAUUGUUGUACCUAAACUAACCUAUGGCAUGGCAGUUUAUGCGGCUAGCCAUUCAGAGUUAAACACCAUUCAGAGAUUUUUAGAUAGGUGCACAAAAAGGAGGUAUAUCUCUUAUAAAGUCAAUAUCAUGGAUCUACUUCAGAAAACGGACACUAAGAUCUUCAACAAAAUCAAAGGAAACAGCAACCACCCUCUAAGGGAUAUUGCUCCUGUUGUUAUAUCAACGAACUACAAUCUUCGUAAUAAGAAGCUCACCAAGCCCCGUGUUAACACUGAUAGAUUUCUCAACGCCUUCGCUAAUCGGCUUGCAUUCAGAUAUAAUCUAGCCUUAGCAAGUGAGCCUUAAAGUUGUAACUGCCGGUUGUCUGUUUUUGUAUUUCUGUACUUGUAAAGUAGUGUGAAAUAUAGAGCGCUCCUAGAAAUGGAUUUUUUCUAGUAAGAAUAAAGAUUAUUAUUAUUUUUUCAAAUAAGUAAAUGGUAUUUCAUAACUCCCGAUCUCGUUUUAACUACUUAUCCGAAUAAGGAAUAGACUAAAAAGAGGGUCGUUAGCGUUUUCUAAACAUUUCGUGCUGGGAAAAAAAAUUAUGUUCGUUUUUCCCAGGUGGAACAAUUCCUUUUGUUCCUAGCCAGUUCCUUUUGUUCCUAUUGUUAAUGAUAUCAACGAAUAUGCGUCAUCAAGGGGAAUGCGUCUGAACCCCAAGAAAUGCAAAGAGCUUCAGAUCAAUUUCUUAAAGUACCAACCUUCUGUCCCCCAAAGAUUAAUCCUAGGGAGCGCAGUUGUUGAGAAAGUUGAAUAUUAUAAGCUAUUAGGUGUACACAUAUCAGCAGAUCUGUCAUGGAAUGUUCACGUUGACCACAUUGUUAAGAAGGCUAGCAAGCGCCUCUAUGCCCUCAGGGUACUCAGGAAGGCAGGUGUCCAGCAGUCAGAUAUGGUCCUUAUCUAUUGCUCGUUAAUUCGGUCAGUCCUUGAGUACGCUGCUCCUGUCUGGGCCUCCCUUCCUGAGUACCUUGCAGAGCUUAUCGAAACAGUACAACGAAAAGCUAUUCGAAUAAUCUACCCUUGCCUUAGCUAUGAAUCGGGGCUCAAAGUAGCAAAAAUGGACUCACUUACAGUCCGCAGAGCAGAACUGUGCCGUCGAUUCAUGGCCAAAGCAAGAUGCACUGAGCCUAUAAAAUAUAUAAUACAAUCUGGGACUGAGGUCGCCCAUGGUUAUUCGCUAAGGGGGGGUUGCAGCCGUUUGGAUAAAUCAGUUGGUGUAACUGAAAGGUAUAAUAACUUUAUCACAAUUCGUUUCCAGUAGUUAUGCCAGUAUUUAUUUAUACAUUGUUAAGUGUAGUGUGCAUCGGCCGACAUACUGUAAUUUAGCUUAUGCUACAAAAGUAUGAAUAAACGAUUAUUAUUAUUAUUAUUAUUAUUUCAGCACAUGAAUAAUUGGGGUUAUCGAAGAUGUCCCCUGCACAGUUAGGGAUAUCUCGACAUUGUUAGAUAGCAAUUGGCUCAAUGACAAGGACAAUCGAUGUGUACCUGAAAAUGGUUGAGACAGCUGCGAGAAAGGUUUGAUCCGUUUCUAACAUGGUGUUUUCUAUUAUACGUCCACAACGCACAAUCGUUUCUAACAGCAGGCGCGUUAGCCGUGAUUUUUUAGGGGAGGGAGGGGAAGGGGGAAACCCUUCUAUAUUGAUAAGUACAACAGAGAUUCCCAAACGUUUUGAAAAUGACCAGAACCCACCCACUCUGUAUUAAAAAACACCAGCGCAUUUAAUAUGUUGCUUUGUCUUUUGUAUUGCUCACAGUUUUUAUAUAACAGGAAGGAAAAGGUGUCAUGACAGUUGGUUGCACACUGCAUCAAUAGAUAAGGGCGCUAAACGACAGGCAGAUCCUAUCAAUGCUGGCUAAACUUUGCCAGAGGUACAGGUUCUUUGAGUAAAACACCCUGCUGAUACCAGUCAAUACAGGAAAGCACUGGACACCUGUGAUUGUCGACAUGCAAGGCAAGACAAUAUGUCAUUUUGACUCACUAUCUGGGGAGGAGGACUCAUCAGUCCUAUAAUGCAAGGCCAUAGAGUAUAAAACUACGUUGUCAAAUACGAGGGCACUUAUUUAUUAUGACGCUGUCAUAAAUGGAUCUUCGUUUGUGAUGUCUGAGUGGACUCUACUUAAAACCAAUAAGAAUAUACCGGACGACUGCGGUGUUUUUGUUUGCCAAAUUGCUAGAUGUCUAGGGCUAUACAGUGCCAUCGAUUUUGAGCAGAGAGAUGUGCCUAUCUUGAGGUAACGGAUGGUUUUGGAGAUCGAGGCAGGGCGUUUGUUUGACCGAGACCACUGUUUCAUGUCCUAGGACAAGACAGGCAACCUGUACUCUUGGCUGUCUGUUACUCUUGUGGAAGAAAACUUUUUACGACUCCAAUCAAUCAACUCCUGCAGAUGUUUAUAUCAUAACAUAUCGUGCAAAAUCGUCCUUCAGGAAAUCCAAUAUCCUUUUCAGAACAAUAAAUGGGACAAACAUAAUCAAAGAUCAAAGUGAUACCGCUUUUCUUUUCCAUAGUGUAUUACGCACAAACGAAACAAUCCUAUGUAGAGUCAAUUAUAAAUGUAAAUGAAAUUAUUUCAAAUAAAUUUAUUCAUUGUGUAAUAUUUCAACCAAAUAUGUAAUAUUUUCAAAUUUCAACCACAAACCAUUUGCAUAAUACCCUUGGUAUAAGGAAAUGAGCAAGUACAACCUCCUUAUAGACAAUUCUAAUUGAUGUAUUACACACGAGAUCGGAAUAGUUAUGGAGGCUGGUGUCACUUGUAUAUUUUAAUAAAUUCAUGGAUUUAACAAA